rnacentral:rRNA from 1 species
UACAGAGGUGGCAAGCGUUGUUCGGAAUUACUGGGCGUAAAGGGCGCGUAGGCGGUUUUGUAAGUCCCGCGUGAAAUCCCCCGGCUCAACUGGGGAACUGCGCGGGAAACUGCAAGGCUUGAGUUCGGGAGAGGGAAGCGGAAUUCCGGGUGUAGCGGUGAAAUGCGUAGAUAUCCGGAGGAACACCGGUGGCGAAGGCGGCUUCCUGGACCGACACUGACGCUGAGGCGCGAAAGCUAGGGGAGCAAACGGG